rnacentral:lncRNA from 1 species
UGCGUUGCAUCAUUUGGUACCAAGGAACCACCUAUUUUUCAAAAUGAAUGGUUGUUAUGUUUAAACGGUGGUCAUCAGGAGUAUCAUAAUACUCGAACAACUGCUCCGCUUUGAAAAUCCAUUGUAAAACGUCUGAGCCAUCGAAACAGGGAAAAUCAAUCUUGACAUUUCUCACCUGAAAUAGGUCGUGGGCAUGUCGUGAGUUCAUACCACCAUGGGACAUGUUUUCCUUCAAAUCCUUAAUUGUGUUACAAAGGUCUGCCAUUUCUACAGCAUGCUCCCUUUCACGUUUUUGCAUAAGGUCUAAUAUUUGCUUGAGGUUAUU